AAAGAAUUUAGUUUAAUUUAAAAAUAUUAAAUUGUAAAUUUAAAGUUUUAUAUUCUUG
rnacentral:tRNA from 1 species